CUCUGGUAUUGAUUGGUGCUUGCAUCAUGAUUUACAUUUGAGUGAGUGGCGAACUGGUGAGUAACACGUGGGAAACCUGCCCAGAAGCGGGGGAUAACACCUGGAAACAGAUGCUAAUACCGCAUAACAACUUGGACCGCAUGGUCCGAGUUUGAAAGAUGGCUUCGGCUAUCACUUUUGGAUGGUCCCGCGGCGUAUUAGCUAGAUGGUGGGGUAACGGCUCACCAUGGCAAUGAUACGUAGCCGACCUGAGAGGGUAAUCGGCCACAUUGGGACUGAGACACGGCCCAAACUCCUACGGGAGGCAGCAGUAGGGAAUCUUCCACAAUGGACGAAAGUCUGAUGGAGCAACGCCGCGUGAGUGAAGAAGGGUUUCGGCUCGUAAAACUCUGUUGUUAAAGAAGAACAUAUCUGAGAGUAACUGUUCAGGUAUUGACGGUAUUUAACCAGAAAGCCACGGCUAACUACGUGCCAGCAGCCGCGGUAAUACGUAGGUGGCAAGCGUUGUCCGGAUUUAUUGGGCGUAAAGCGAGCGCAGGCGGUUUUUUAAGUCUGAUGUGAAAGCCUUCGGCUCAACCGAAGAAGUGCAUCGGAAACUGGGAAACUUGAGUGCAGAAGAGGACAGUGGAACUCCAUGUGUAGCGGUGAAAUGCGUAGAUAUAUGGAAGAACACCAGUGGCGAAGGCGGCUGUCUGGUCUGUAACUGACGCUGAGGCUCGAAAGUAUGGGUAGCAAACAGGAUUAGAUACCCUGGUAGUCCAUACCGUAAACGAUGAAUGCUAAGUGUUGGAGGGGUUU
rnacentral:rRNA from 2 species